GCUUCUGUUAGAAGUUAAUGGGAUCCCAAGUUCAAAAUUUAAAUUAGUUUUCUCCUCGUAAAUGAGUCUGGUAGUUCUGUAGUUUGAAUCAAUGCAGUGACCAUUUCCCCUCAUUUAGGUGCCUGUAAUAUGGUCCAGUGGUGUGUGAAACUAGAAGCGGUCUAGACUGUAAAAGCACUCAUUAUGCAGUCAUAUGGUUUUUGGAAGCUUUGAUAGCACAGC
rnacentral:misc_RNA from 1 species